GACGAACGCUGGCGGCGUGCUUAACACAUGCAAGUCGAACGGAGAAUUUUAUUUCGGUAGAAUUCUUAGUGGCGAACGGGUGAGUAACGCGUAGACAACCUGCCUCUUAGAUGGGGACAACAUCGCGAAAGCGGUGCUAAUACCGAAUGAAGUGGAGCUUCCGCAUGGAAGCAUCACCAAAGGUGGCCUCUAUUUAUAAGCUACCACUGAGAGAUGGGUCUGCGUCUGAUUAGCUAGUUGGCGGGGUAAUGGCCCACCAAGGCGACGAUCAGUAGCCGGUCUGGGAGGAUGAACGGCCACAUUGGGACUGAGAAACGGCCCAAACUCCUACGGGAGGCAGCAGUGGGGAAUCUUCCGCAAUGGACGAAAGUCUGACGGAGCAACGCCGCGUGAGUGAAGAAGGUUUUCGGAUCGUAAAGCUCUGUUGUUUGAGACGAAUGUGCAGACUUUGAAUAAGGGUUUGUAAUGACGGUAUUAAACGAGAAAGCCACGGCUAACUACGUGCCAGCAGCCGCCGUAA
rnacentral:rRNA from 1 species